rnacentral:SRP_RNA from 1 species
GGUCGGGCCCCGCACGGUAAGGUCCCACGAACCCCGUCAGGUCCGGAAGGAAGCAGCGGUAGUGGGAACCCUGCGCGUUGCGGUUUCGUCCGGCUCGG